CCCUUAGAUGUUCUGGGCUGCACGCGCGCUACACUGAAGCGUUCAACGAGUAUUCACCUUGCCCGGGAGGGUUGGGUAAUCUUUUGAAAACGCUUCGUGAUGGGGAUAGAUUAUUGCAAUUAUUAAUCUUCAACGAGGAAUUCCUAGUAAGCGCGAGUCAUCAGCUCGCGCUGAAUACGUCCCUGCCCUUUGUACACACCGCCCGUCGCUCCUACCGAUUGAGUGGUCCGGUGAGGCUUUGGGAUCUGAGCGGAAAGAGCGUUUCGCUGUUUCUGCCCGGAAAACUCAGUCGAACCUUAUCAUUUAGAGGAAGGAGAAGUCGUAACA
rnacentral:rRNA from 1 species